rnacentral:rRNA from 1 species
GAAGUAGCAGGCCUAACCGUAAGGAGGGAUGUUCCGAGGGUGUGAUUAGCGAUUGGGGUGAAGUCGUAACAAGGUAUCCGUACGGGAACGUGCGGAUGGAUCACCUCCUUU